ensembl:lncRNA
CGACAAACUACUAAAAACAAUAAAAAGGAGGCGAUCAAUAAAGGUUUUGCCAAGUUUGACAGCUGCUAGGAAAAGAGUGAUUAAAAAAGACGUGUUGAAGCAUGGAAACAGAUAUGAGUGUCUGAAGGACUUGGAGGGGAUAGACUGAAACGAUGGAAACCUCUUCACGGCUAAAGCUGCAGAGAUGGAGCUGCAGAUCGAGAGUGCGGGCGCAAGAGAAGACUUUUGAAAACUUUUGCAAAAAGAAGCUGGGUGGGUAUACAGUUGCGGUCGGAAGUUUACAUACCACUUGCAGUAUCUACAAAAUCUUAAUACUCUUAACAAAAUAAGAUUGAUCAUAAAAAUCCUAAGUUUCUUAUUUAGUACCGCCAUGAAUAAGCUAUUUCACAUAACAGAUGUUUACAUAUAGUCCACAAGAUAAUAGCUGAAUUAAUC